GACGAACGCUGGCGGCGCGCCUAACACAUGCAAGUCGAACGGAGAAGUUAGCAAUAACUUUUUAGUGGCGAACGGGUGAGUAACGCGUAGACAACCAACCUUACAGCGGGGGACAACACUUCGAAAGGAGUGCUAAUACCGCAUACGCUCUUUAGAUCGCAUGGUGUGAAGAGGAAAGGAGCCGCAAGGCUUCACUGUAAGACGGGUCUGCGUCUGAUUAGCUAGUUGGAGGGGUAACGGCCCACCAAGGCGACGAUCUGUAGCGGGUCUGAGAGGAUGAUCCGCCACACUGGGACUGAGACACGGCCCAGACUCCUACGGGAGGCAGCAGUGGGGAAUUUUGGACAAUGGGCGCAAGCCUGAUCCAGCCAACUGCCGCGUGCGGGACGGAAGGACCGUCGGUU
rnacentral:rRNA from 1 species